GCUAGUUAUGUCAUGUCCUGACUUGGCUAGUAUCAGCUUUAUGCAUUUUCACUUUUUGUACGAAAAAACCCAACCAUUUUGAGAUCCAGUAAUCUGAGAUCCUUCCUGUCUUUGUGUUCCUGACUUGGGUAGGAUAGCUGUGACACAAAGUAGUCAAGCAAUGGUGCCCAUGAAUAGAGGACUGCAGAAAUACUCGUAUAUGGGUAGCA